AUACGUAGGUGGCGAGCGUUGUCCGGAAUUAUUGGGCGUAAAGGAUGCGUAGGUGGAUAUUUAAGUGGGAUGUGAAAUCCCCGAGCUCAACCCGGGAACUGCAUUCCAUACUGGAUAUCUAGAGUGCAGGAGAGGAAAGCGGAAUUCCUAGUGUAGCGGUGAAAUGCGUAGAUAUUAGGGGGAACACCAGUGGCGAAGGCGGCUUUCUGGACUGUAACUGACACUGAGGCAUGAAAGCGUGGGUAGC
rnacentral:rRNA from 1 species